rnacentral:rRNA from 1 species
UGCGUAGGCGGUUAUUUAAGUCAGAUGUGAAAGCCCCGGGCUUAACCUGGGAACGGCAUUUGAUACUGAGUGACUAGAGUUGAGUAGAGGGGAGUGGAAUUUCCGGUGUAGCGGUGAAAUGCGUAGAGAUCGGAAGGAACACCAGUGGCGAAGGCGACUCCCUGGACUCAAACUGACGCUGAGGUACGAAAGCGUGGGUAGCAAACA